GACGAACGCUGGCGGCGUGCUUAACACAUGCAAGUCGAACGGAAAGGCCCUGCUUUUGUGGGGUGCUCGAGUGGCGAAAGGGUGAGUAACACGUGAGUAACCUGCCCUUGACUUUGGGAUAACUUCAGGAAACUGGGGCUAAUCCCGGAUAGGAGCUCCUGCUGCAUGGUGGGGGUUGGAAAGUUUCGGCGGUUGGGGCUGGACUCGCGGCUUAUCAGCUUGUUGGUGGGGUAGUGGCUUACCAAGGAUUUGACGGGUAGCCGGCCUGGGAGGGUGACCGGCCACAUUGGGACUGAGAUACGGCCCAGACUCCUACGGGAGGCAGCAGUGGGGAAUAUUGCACAAUGGGCGGAAGCCUGAUGCAGCAACGCCGCGUGCGGGAUGACGGCCUUCGGGUUGUAAACCGCUUUCGCCUGUGACGAAGCGUGAGUGACGGUAAUGGGUAAAGAAGCACCGGCUAACUACGUG
rnacentral:rRNA from 1 species